rnacentral:rRNA from 1 species
UACGGGGGGGGCAAGCGUUGUUCGGAAUUACUGGGCGUAAAGGGCGUGUAGGCGGCCUUCUAAGUCGCAUGUGAAAUCCCUCGGCUUAACCGAGGAACUGCGUCCGAGACUGAAAGGCUUGAAUCCGGGAGAGGGAUGUGGAAUUCCAGGUGUAGCGGUGAAAUGCGUAGAUAUCGGGAGGAACACCGGUGGCGAAGGCGGCAUCCUGGACCGGCAUUGACGCUGAGGCGCGAAAGCUAGGGGAGCAAACGGG